UACAGAGGGUGCGAGCGUUAAUCGGAAUUACUGGGCGUAAAGGGCGCGUAGGCGGUCAUGUAAGUGAGAUGUGAAAUCCCUGGGCUUAACCUAGGAACUGCAUCUCAUACUGUGUGACUGGAGUGCAGUAGAGGGUAGUGGAAUUUCCGGUGUAGCGGUGAAAUGCGUAGAUAUCGGAAGGAACACCAGUGGCGAAGGCGGCUACCUGGACUGACACUGACGCUGAGGCGCGAGAGCGUGGGGAGCAAACAGG
rnacentral:rRNA from 1 species